GAAGGAAGUGAAGAAGGAGACUGGACUUGGCUCGACUUUCAAAAAGGAUGAGAACUUUGUAGAAUGGUAUUCUGAGUGGUUUGUUGGAUACAGAAGCAUUCAAAAGGUUGCUCUAUUUGUUCAUCUGGAAACUCUUGCUACCAAGUUUUACAGGAGACAAGCAUUCCUCGAGACGACCAUUCCUUUAGCAACUUUUUGUGCUAUUUAAUUUAUGCCCCUCUUUAUAUUGCUGGACCAGUUGUAAGCUUCAACGCAUUUGCUAAACAGGUACACCUCAAAAGAGUUAUUCAGUCAGACAAACUGCUUGAUAUGGAUUUAAAUGGGUUCUUAAUCUUUUCUUAAUGGAAACAAUGACACAUUUUUUUCUACUACAAUGCCUUUGCGAUAAGGU